ensembl:lncRNA LINC01320 long intergenic non-protein coding RNA 1320
AGAACAGCACGUAGCAGGCCCCUGUGGAGGAUUAACACAGUGGCUGAACACCGGGAAGGAACUGGCACUUGGAGUCCGGACAUCUGAAACUUGGACUGUGAAUGCAGCCCGUGAAAAAGAGGGUUUUCGGAAGCUUGACAUUUAUGAGGGUGAGGAAUUGACAAGCCGACAUCAGUCUCCAGAGUGAAUCCAAGGAGUGGACCCAAGACAUUUGUGUUCUGUGAUGUGGUGGCAUGUUACCUGUCAUCUCCGAUGCAUAACUCCUAAAGUGCGUCUGGGGCAGUUGUACAGAUUGCAGAGGAUAAUACUCAAGAUGUUCUCCAAGGCCAACUAGUCAUCAGUUUAUUCAUAGCUCCCAAGAUGGUGGUGGGCCACUUCCAAGAUGGUGGCAAGAGUCGUAUUCUCUGACCUGGGGUUCUUGGUCUCAUGGAUUCCAAGGAAUGGAAUCUUGCGCCAUGUGGAGAAGCGUCAGAUAAUUAGGCAGCAGUCCAACAAUUAGGUUUUGUGGAACUUUUACUAUGUCAUCUAUUUAUUGGAAUUCCCCCUGGAUACCAGGACCCCCUCCAGCAGAGCUUAAAGUUAUAGUUACAGGAAGUACAAAUUCCUUAUGUGGAUCCCUGGAAGUGUGAUGAGAAGAACCACUGUUUCCAAGAUCUAUUUAUUCUAUUUAUCAGGCCUAUAAAAUCAUGUAAUGGCCAUGGCUUCAACUAGACUCCACAUCUUGAAUCACAGAACUCAACGAAUGGCAUCAACUACAAGCUGGUAUUCUGCUAUACAUUUAAGAGGCCAUUUUAAUAUUCUAUUAGUCUAGCAGCUUCUAAGUGAUGAGGGAUAUGGGGGGACUGGAGGAUCCCGUGCUCACUUCCUUUUCUGUAAAAGGAGCUCUUUGAUCCAAGGUGACAUGGUAUGGGAUCCAAUGACAAUAAAUCAGUUAUUCUGUGAACCCUGAUCAAAACUUGACUAAACUUUUGACAGUUAGGUUUUUUCCUGACCACAGACUCCUCACCUUUCUUUUCUUAGAAAAUUUACAUUGGAAAACAGAUGUAAAUUUUCUCCAGCCUCUUGCAAGGUUUACAGUCCAGGACUUUGAGGUCCUGGGAGUCAUCCUUUUGAAAUACAAUCAUCAAAGAAGAUAGUGCUCCAAUCUCCUAGUCUCUGUGGGAGGGUUGGAACCUAACUUCAGUAAACUAAUCACCAAUUAGCAAACACAGAGGGGCUGAUCAUACUGACCCACUUUCCCACUAAAAUGUCUAGUACUUUCCACCAGCUCACCACAGUGCUUAAAAACUCUCCUGUCUUUUGUUUUACUAGAGUUGAGUCCAAUCUCUUUCAUCUAUUGCAAUAGUGUUGAAUAAAGUCUUCCUUGCCU